CGGACCUCGCGGCAGAGAGCAUCUCCGAGCGCUGGCCCUCACGUGACGUCGUCGUUUGUGAUCCUUGACAUGGAGGCCAUAUAUGGCAGGUGCUAUGUCGCAGAUGAGGAAACUGAGGCCCAGAGAGGUUGGGGGACUUGUCCAUAAUCCCACAACGUACAAGUGGUGGUUUACAUCUGAACCAGAACUUUCUGACGCAAAAGGCAGUGCUUUUAGCCACAGCCCCACCCGCCAUGUAACAGGGAAUCCGAAUGUUGGGGCCAAACAAAGAGCCCCACCCACAAGGCUCCGAAAGGAAACUGGUGGACAUUUGCUUUUCUUAACCUUGGACCUUACUCAUCCUAGCUGGGAGCACUGACACUGCAGUAAAGGUCCGCAAAGCCCAAGACAAAGACAGGCCGGCCUGUCCGUUGACGUCACAGGUUGGUCACGUCCAGAACGAACGGGUCGGGCUAAGUCAGCAGUUCCUGCCUGAAGCCGCACAGUAGAACCCUAUGAAACGUACCUGUGCCUGACUCUUCCCCCAGAGAUUCUUCUUGAAUCCAUGUGAGCGGAGGGCCGAACAGCACUGACUUUUUUUUUUUUUAAUGUUUUAUUAAUUUCUGAGACCGAGAGAGACAGAGCACGAGCACUGACUUUUUAAAACUUUUUAUUAACGUAUCAUACACACAAAAAGCCCACAGGUGCACAGCUCCACGGAACUUUGCAAACAGAGGACACUCAGCAUCUGCAUCGAAGGGAGGAUCUUAGCGGCCCUCCCCCACUUUUGCACCCCUCUUUGCCCCCAUCUCUACACUACCACCCACCUCCUCCUGCCAAGGAGGGGUGACCACUCCCCUGACCUCUAACAGUAAAGGUUGUUUUGAAUGUC